UCCCGCGCCGCUCCCGAGCCCCUGCAGCCUCGGCGUCCCCGGGGCCGUGAGGCGCGCGCCGUGACGCCUGGGGUCUGUAGGCCUGUGAAGAACUGGACUAGGUGAGAAGAAGAAGCUUUUGACCCAUGUCACUCCCUGGCCCAGAACUAUAUCCUACCCACAGGUGGGUUGAGUUCAGGACUGCUGCUUCCAGCCCCCAGCAGCAAGGUUCAAGUGAGAGCUGACUCACCUAGGGCCCCUUGUUAGAGCCUCAGAGCCAGGUGAAAAGCCACACACAGGCUGGGCGCGAUGGCUCACGCCUGUAAUCCCAGCACUUUGGGAGGCCGAGGCAGGUGGAUCACCUGAGGUCAGGAGUUCAAGACCAUCCUGGCCAACAUGGCAAAAUCCCGUCUCUACUAAAAAUACAAAAAUUAGUCCUGCCUGGUGGCACAUGCCUGUAGUCCCAGCUACUCGGGAGGCUGAGGCAGGAGAAUCGCUUGAACCCGGGAGGCGGAGGUUGCAGUGAGCCGAGAUCAUGCCACUGCACUCCAGCCUGGGUGACAGAGCGGGACUCUGUCUCCAAAAAAAGAAAAGCCACACAGGUGUGUGUGUAGGGGCAAGGGAGUUUCCUACUGUCUUCCUAGCAGAAAAUGGGGAGAAACUGUUAAAGCCAGAAUGAGGGAGGGCUGUGUGUGGCCUGGGACUGGCAACAGAAGUGUCAAGCUGCCAGGUUUCAGGCCAGUACAGAGCACGGUUCUACCUGGGUUAUGUGUUGCCGGCACUAAUGGUUAGAGACAUCUGUCACUGGUGAGGGCAGAAAUGUAUGCAGGAGUGGGUGUGGGAAGCUGGCCUCACUGGUGGGUGGGGUUGGAGACUUUGCCAGGCCUGGUCAGGAAAAGCUGCUACAAAACAGCAAAACUGCUCCUAGUGCAGCGAUCCCCAACCUUUUUGGCAACAGGGAGUAUUUUCCUGGAAGACCAUUUUUCCAUGGAGAGGGAGGGCGGGGCUGGUUUCGGGAUGGAAGUGUUCCAUCUCCCAUCAUCAGGCAUUAGUCAAACUCUCCUAAGGAGCACACAAAACCUACACUCCUGGUGUGCACAGUUCACAGGAGGGCUUCUGCUUCUGUGAGAACCAAAUGUCCCACUGAUGUGACAGGAUCAGAGCGCCAUCGCUGCUCACUUCCUGCAUGCGGCCCUGUUCCUGACAGGCCACGGACCAGUACCUGGGGUUUGGGGUCCCCCGCCCUAGGGGAUGAAAGAAGGGAAACCUGGGUCUAAUGGGUUACUGUGAUUCUCCCUGCGAUGCAGGGAAGAGACAGGACAGAGGUGGGAAGGAACAUGGUCACCAGGAGUCGGGACAGCACUCUUCCAGGUCCUUCCCCUGGGGCUGAGUAAGCACCCUGCGCGUAGCUCUUCCUGGCCGCCUGUGGGCUCUGGGAUCUAAACGGACUAUGCAGCCAUUCUCACUUUCAUUCACAGCUCGGACAGGGACAGUGUGUGUUGAGGCGGAAAGACAAAACAUGUAUGUGAGAGACUUUGUAUGAGCCGGUUCCUGAUGAAGUCCUAUCUUUCAGCCUCGUAUUUACUGCCCAGGCAGAUGGGGCUCUUUUCUUCACCCUCCCGCUUUUUUUUUUUGAGACAGAAAACUUAAUAGAAAUUUUGUUUGCAGUUCUUACAUUCUCAGUGUGAGCCAAUCUGUGACCCACCGCCCCACCCAGAAGUGGCCCAGUCCUGGUGCAGGGUAGGAAGGGAAGGGUGGAGUGAGAAGAGCCCCAUUUUUCCUCAGUGCCAGGGGGCUGGAGACACCACCCCCUUCUCCUGCCUCUGGGCUCCAGGAAGGAGUGCAGAUGGACUCUCAGGCCUAUGGUUCCUCCUCCACACCACUGUCCCCCAGGUUGGAGGGGAGUGAGAGAUACAGGGAGAGAAGGGGACAGAGGCAAGAAAAGGUGUUGAUCAAGAAAGGCAAGAACCAGGGGUGAGGGCUGACAGAGAAUCAAAGAUAAAACACUAGUAGGCCGGGCGCGGUGGCUCAUGCCUGUAAUCCCAGCACUUUCGGAAGCCAAGGCGGGCAGAUCACCUGAGGUCGGGAAUUCGAGACCAGCCUGACCAACAUGGAGAAACCCUGUCUCUACUACAAAUAUAAAAUUAGCCGGGUGUGGUGGCACAUGCCUGUAAUCCCAGCUGCUCAGGAGGCUGAGGCAGGAGAAUCGCUUGAACCUGGGAGGCAGAGAUUGCAGUGAGCCAAGAUCAUGCCACUGCACUCCAGCCUGGGCAACAAGAGCGAAACUCUGUUGGAAAAAAACAAACAGUAAAAAAAAAAAA
rnacentral:lncRNA from 1 species